GCUUACGGCCAUACCUCUCUGGCUCCGCCUGAUCUCGUCAGAUCUCAGAAGCUAAGCAGAGUAGGCCCUGAUAGUACUUGGAUGAAAGACCGCCUGGGAAUCCCAGGUGCCGUAAGCU
ensembl:rRNA 5S_rRNA 5S ribosomal RNA